rnacentral:rRNA from 1 species
AGUCACUGCUAUUGGGGUUCGGCUAAGCCAUGCGAGCGGAGGGCGCGGUCGCAAGAUCGUGGCCCCGCACACGGCUCAGUAACACGUAGUCAGCCUACCCUUGGGACGGGGACAACGCCGGGAAACUGGCGAUAAUCCCCGAUAGGUGAGGGAUGCUGGGAUGCUUCUUCGCUCAAAGCUCCGGCGCCCGAGGAUGGGACUGCGGCCUAUCAGGCUGUUGGUGGUGUGACGGACCACCAAACCUACGACGGGUACGGGCGAUGGGAGUCGGAGCCAGGAGAUGGGGACUGAGACAAGGCCCCAGGCCCUACGGGGCGCAGCAGGCGCGAAAACUCCGCAAUGCGCGCAAGCGUGACGAGGGAACCCCAAGUGCCGUUGGUCUUUUGAUCGACGGCUUUUCGGAAGUCCAAUAAGCUUCCGGAAUAAGGGCUGGGUAAGACUGGUGCCAGCCGCCGCGGUAACACCAGCAGCCCAAGUGGUGGCCGCGAUUAUUGGGCCUAAAGCGCUCGUAGCCGGAUCAGCAAGUCCUUUGUGAAAUCGGACCGCCCAACGGUUCGGCGUGCAAAGGAUACUGUUGGUCUUGAGACCGGGAGAGGUCGGAGGUACUCUUGGGGUAGCGGUGAAAUGCUGUAAUCCUGGGGGGACCACCAGUGGCGAAGGCGUCCGACCAGAACGGAUCUGACGGUGAGGGGCGAAGGCUAGGGGAGCGAACGGGAUUAGAUACCCCGGUAGUCCUAGCUGUAAAGCAUGCGGGCCAGGUGUCUAGCGCUCCUUGAGGGCGCUAUGUGCCGGAGGGAAGCCGUUAAGCCCGCCGCCUGGGAAGUACGGCCGCAAGGCUGAAACUUAAAGAAAUUGGCGGGGGAGCACCACAAGGGGUGGAACCUGCGGUUC